rnacentral:rRNA from 1 species
UACGUAGGGUGCGAGCGUUAAUCGGAAUUACUGGGCGUAAAGCGUGCGCAGGCGGUUUUGUAAGCCAGAUGUGAAAUCCCCGGGCUUAACCUGGGAAUGGCAUUUGGGACUGCAUGGCUGGAGUGCGGCAGAGGGGGAUGGAAUUCCGCGUGUAGCAGUGAAAUGCGUAGAUAUGCGGAGGAACACCGAUGGCGAAGGCAGGUCUCUGGGCUGACACUGACGCUCAUGCACGAAAGCGUGGGGAGCAAACAGG